UUUCAUCGGUCGGAAAUGGGUUUGCUUUGAAGUGUUGGGUUAACGAUGAGGUUUCACCGGUGGUUGAUGGCGGUGAAAAAAAGAGGGUUAGCGGCAACGGCGGUGGUGAAUGGUGAUGGGUCGGAAGGAGACGAUGGAGACGACGGCUAUGGUUUUGGAAGUGGAGUGAAGGAUUUUUGAGAGAGAGAUGUGAGUGAGUGAAAUAAUUGUGGUGGCUAGGGUU
rnacentral:lncRNA from 1 species